UACGAAGGGGGCUAGCGUUGUUCGGAAUUACUGGGCGUAAAGCGCACGUAGGCGGAUUGUUAAGUCAGAGGUGAAAUCCCGGAGCUCAACUUCGGAACUGCCUUUGAUACUGGCAAUCUAGAGUCCGGAAGAGGUUAGUGGAAUUCCCAGUGUAGAGGUGAAAUGCGUAGAUAUCUGGAGGAACACCGGUGGCGAAGGCGGCAUCCUGGACCGGCAUUGACGCUGAGGCGCGAAAGCCAGGGGAGCAAACGGG
rnacentral:rRNA from 1 species